UUCCAAAGGGCAUGCCUGUUCGAGCGUCAUUUGUACCCUCAAGCUUUGCUUGGUGUUGGGCGUUUUUUGUCUUUGGUUGCCAAAGACUCGCCUUAAAAGGAUUGGCAGCCGGCCUACUGGUUUCGCAGCGCAGCACAUUUUUGCGCUUGCAAUCAGCAAAAGAGGACGGCAAUCCAUCAAGACUCCUUCUCACGUUUGACCUCGGAUCAG
rnacentral:misc_RNA from 1 species